rnacentral:rRNA from 1 species
GUCUGAAUAUGGGGGGACCAUCCUCCAAGGCUAAAUACUCCUGACUGACCGAUAGUGAACCAGUACCGUGAGGGAAAGGCGAAAAGAACCCCGGCGAGGGGAGUGAAAAAGAACCUGAAACCGUGUACGUACAAGCAGUGGGAGCCUCUUUAUGGGGUGACUGCGUACCUUUUGUAUAAUGGGUCAGCGACUUAUAUUCUGUAGCAAGGUUAACCGAAUAGGGGAGCCGAAGGGAAACCGAGUCUUAACUGGGCGUUAAGUUGCAGGGUAUAGACCCGAAACCCGGUGAUCUAGCCAUGGGCAGGUUGAAGGUUGGGUAACACUAACUGGAGGACCGAACCGACUAAUGUUGAAAAAUUAGCGGAUGACUUGUGGCUGGGGGUGAAAGGCCAAUCAAACCGGGAGAUAGCUGGUUCUCCCCGAAAGCUAUUUAGGUAGCGCCUCGUGAAUUCAUCUCCGGGGGUAGAGCACUGUUUCGGCAAGGGGGUCAUCCCGACUUACCAACCCGAUGCAAACUGCGAAUACCGGAGAAUGUUAUCACGGGAGACACACGGCGGGUGCUAACGUCCGUCGUGAAGAGGGAAACAACCCAGACCGCCAGCUAAGGUCCCAAAGUCAUGGUUAAGUGGGAAACGAUGUGGGAAGGCCCAGACAGCCAGGAUGUUGGCUUAGAAGCAGCCAUCAUUUAAAGAAAGCGUAAUAGCUCACUGGUCGAGUCGGCCUGCGCGGAAGAUGUAACGGGGCUAAACCAUGCACCGAAGCUGCGGCAGCGACACUAUGUGUUGUUGGGUAGGGGAGCGUUCUGUAAGCCUGUGAAGGUGUGCUGUGAGGCAUGCUGGAGGUAUCAGAAGUGCGAAUGCUGACAUAAGUAACGAUAAAGCGGGUGAAAAGCCCGCUCGCCGGAAGACCAAGGGUUCCUGUCCAACGUUAAUCGGGGCAGGGUGAGUCGACCCCUAAGGCGAGGCCGAAAGGCGUAGUCGAUGGGAAACAGGUUAAUAUUCCUGUACUUGGUGUUACUGCGAAGGGGGGACGGAGAAGGCUAUGUUGGCCGGGCGACGGUUGUCCCGGUUUAAGCGUGUAGGCUGGUUUUCCAGGCAAAUCCGGAAAAUCAAGGCUGAGGCGUGAUGACGAGGCACUACGGUGCUGAAGCAACAAAUGCCCUGCUUCCAGGAAAAGCCUCUAAGCAUCAGGUAACAUCAAAUCGUACCCCAAACCGACACAGGUGGUCAGGUAGAGAAUACCAAGGCGCUUGAGAGAACUCGGGUGAAGGAACUAGGCAAAAUGGUGCCGUAACUUCGGGAGAAGGCACGCUGAUAUGUAGGUGAAGCGACUUGCUCGUGGAGCUGAAAUCAGUCGAAGAUACCAGCUGGCUGCAACUGUUUAUUAAAAACACAGCACUGUGCAAACACGAAAGUGGACGUAUACGGUGUGACGCCUGCCCGGUGCCGGAAGGUUAAUUGAUGGGGUUAGCGCAAGCGAAGCUCUUGAUCGAAGCCCCGGUAAACGGCGGCCGUAACUAUAACGGUCCUAAGGUAGCGAAAUUCCUUGUCGGGUAAGUUCCGACCUGCACGAAUGGCGUAAUGAUGGCCAGGCUGUCUCCACCCGAGACUCAGUGAAAUUGAACUCGCUGUGAAGAUGCAGUGUACCCGCGGCAAGACGGAAAGACCCCGUGAACCUUUACUAUAGCUUGACACUGAACAUUGAGCCUUGAUGUGUAGGAUAGGUGGGAGGCUUUGAAGUGUGGACGCCAGUCUGCAUGGAGCCGACCUUGAAAUACCACCCUUUAAUGUUUGAUGUUCUAACGUUGACCCGUGAUCCGGGUUGCGGACAGUGUCUGGUGGGUAGUUUGACUGGGGCGGUCUCCUCCUAAAGAGUAACGGAGGAGCACGAAGGUUGGCUAAUCCUGGUCGGACAUCAGGAGGUUAGUGCAAUGGCAUAAGCCAGCUUGACUGCGAGCGUGACGGCGCGAGCAGGUGCGAAAGCAGGUCAUAGUGAUCCGGUGGUUCUGAAUGGAAGGGCCAUCGCUCAACGGAUAAAAGGUACUCCGGGGAUAACAGGCUGAUACCGCCCAAGAGUUCAUAUCGACGGCGGUGUUUGGCACCUCGAUGUCGGCUCAUCACAUCCUGGGGCUGAAGUAGGUCCCAAGGGUAUGGCUGUUCGCCAUUUAAAGUGGUACGCGAGCUGGGUUUAGAACGUCGUGAGACAGUUCGGUCCCUAUCUGCCGUGGGCGCUGGAGAACUGAGGGGGGCUGCUCCUAGUACGAGAGGACCGGAGUGGACGCAUCACUGGUGUUCGGGUUGUCAUGCCAAUGGCACUGCCCGGUAGCUAAAUGCGGAAGAGAUAAGUGCUGAAAGCAUCUAAGCACGAAACUUGCC